CGCUUCAGUGUAGUGCUGGCAGUGGAGGAGUACGUGUGUGGCGUCCUCUCGUUCCGGGCAUCCGUUCGGGCAAUCUGCGAGUGUUUCCGGUUCCAAUCUGCUGAUGAAGUGAUUUAGUUUGUUGUGGCCGCUGCGUAGUCGGAACAAGGCUGAUUGGAUAGUUCUUUUCUUAUUGGUGUGCCAUGUGGCAUUGCGUCGGUCCUUCCGGAUGUUUGUCGCCAGUUGGUCUGCGAUUUCGUUUCCAACGAUUCCGGCGUGUGAGGGUAUUGCUGGGCUUGACUCCCAUUUGAAGUUGGAUAUUGCUUGAAUGGAAGAUUUUGAAUCAGUGAAGAUGGUGGCUGAGUCCAUCUCGUACUUGUUGAGGUAUGUGGAAUGCACAGCUGGCAGUUUUGUUGUCUCGCACACUGAUCCAUCAGUGUAUACUUCAAGGUGGUUGGUGUUUGGAUUACGAUUGCAAUUGGAGUGGGAUCGUUGUGGCUGCUUUGGUUUUCGCCGUGGAAUAUAUUGCGAUGUCAUCGGCGAAAAGGGAAGUUUCGCAUCCUUCUUCUGGGAUUGGGAAGUCCGCAAGCAUUACGUUGAAUAGGAGGGGGCUGAGCACACUUCCUUGAGGGACUCCUUUGGAAAUUUUUCUUUCUUCGGAUAGGUUGUUGUUUACUCUUGUCCUUAUGCCUCUUCCGGAGUCCUUCUAUCCAUGUGUUGUCGUACGCCUUCGAGAUGUCCAGGAAUAUUGCUGUGGUUGGGUGGCUGCUGUUGAAGCCGGAUUUGAUGGCUGAUUCUAUUCGGAUUAGAUUGUCGGUGGUGGUACAUCCUCUUCGGAAUCCGGUUUGGACUUUCGGCAUGAUGUCAAUGAGACUGGUCUGUACGAUUCCGCUUCUCCGGGUGGAUUGCCUGGUUUGAGGAUGGGUGUGACGAUGGCACAUUUCCAAUCUUUUGGGAUGUAUCCUUCCCUGAACAUCAAGUUGAUUGUUUCUCGUAUCGAUGUCGCUCGGGAUGCCUUGGCUUGUUGCUGCUCGUCGGAGUUCUUCAAUUUGGGCUUUGAGGUCAUCGAUUUCUUGUCUGGUCGGAGCGUCUUCAUUGGUGUGGUGUCUCGCGAAGAUGGGGCAUGCUGCUGUUCCUGCUUCGUGGUCGUUUCCUUCGCACGUCGGGCACUUUGGUGGGCUGGUGCACUGUUGGUCUUCUUCAUGGGCACAGGCACAGGUUCUACACACUUGAACAACGGGGCUUGAUUCUUCCGGAUGUCCGAAUACCCAACACUUUCGGCACAGGUACGGUCUUGGGAUGAAUUUUUUCACUAAGAACACUUCGUGGGCGAUGAUGACUUCGCGCGGGAGGUGUGUUGUGUCGAAGUAGAGAGUGACCAUUGUAGAGCUGGUCGUAGUGUUGUUGGGUCCUCGUUUGGCGAAU